rnacentral:rRNA from 16 species
AGCAGUUCUGUGAUGUUUCUGGAUGUUGUGGGCUGCACGCGCACUGCACGGGUAC